UAAUACGGGGGGUGCAAGCGUUGUCCGGAUUCACUGGGCGUAAAGCGCGCGUAGGCGGUUCUGUAAGUCAUCUGUGAAAUCCCGGGGCUCAACUCCGGGGCUGCAGGUGAUACUGCAGAGCUAGAGCUCGGUAGAGGCAAGUGGAAUUCCCGGUGUAGCGGUGGAAUGCGUAGAUAUCGGGAAGAACACCAGUGGCGAAGGCGGCUUGCUGGGCCGAUGCUGACGCUGAGGCGCGAAAGCGUGGGGAGCAAACAGGAUUAGAUACCCUGGUAGUCCACGCCGUAAACGAUGGGUACUAGGCGUCGGGGGGAGCGACCCCUUCGGUGCCGUCGCUAACGCUGUAAGUACCCCGCCUGGGGAGUACGGCCGCAAGGCUG
rnacentral:rRNA from 1 species